rnacentral:rRNA from 1 species
UUCGGUGGUUUUAGUGCCUUGGUCACACCUGUUCCCAUCUCGAACACAGAAGUUAAGCAAGGUAACGUCGAUGAUAUCCGCCUUCGGCGGAGAAAGUAGAUCAUUGCCGAAC